rnacentral:rRNA from 1 species
UGUCUUUUUGAAAUUAAUAUAAAGUUUAAUCUGCCCACUGAUUUAAUAAUUGAAGGGCUGCAGUAUAUUGACUGUACAAAGGUAGCAUAAUCAUUAGUCAUUUAAUUGAUGACUUGUAUGAAGGAUUGGAUGAAAUAUAAUCUGUCUCUUAAUUAAUAAUAGAAUUUAAUUUUUUAAUUAAAAAGUUAAAAUGGUUUAAAAAGACGAGAAGACCCUAUAGAGUUUUAUAAAUAAAUUAAUUAAGAUUAUUUAGUAAUAUAAAAUUAAAAUUAAAUUAUUUAUUAUAUUGGGGUGAUAGAAAAAUAUAAUUAACUUUUUUUAUAAAUUAAACAUUUAUAAGUGAUUAAAUGAUCCAGUACUAUUGAUUAUAAGAAAAAAUUACCUUAGGGAUAACAGCGUAAUUUUUUUUUUUAGUUCACAUAAGAAAAAGAGUUUGCGACCUCGAUGUUGGAUUAAGAUAAAAUUUAAAUGCAGAAG